GGAGCCCUGUGUCCUUAAGUGGUUAAGAAUCCUGUUGUCAUGGACCUUGUUGCUAGGGGAGUAUGCAAAGGUGAACUAUGUGACUUUUCCGGCCAAUGGUAUCUCUCUAUAGUGUAACCAGAGUUCAGUUGUUGCUGAGGUACAGUUGAGAGAAGUGUGGAGUCUGUCUGUGAGGUGAUUCUGAAGGAGGCCUGAGGCCUAGUCCAGCAACCACGCAUCUACUACCAGUUAACCCCAGCACCCAGGUGAAAGUCAAAGCCUUGCGGAUCGCUUUUAUCUACAAACAAGAGGUGUGGCCAUGGGGGCCAAAUGUGCGCCAUCGUACGCCAAAUUAUUUCUUGGACAUUGGGAGCAAGAGAAUAUUCUGACAUAUGAGACAUCACCACACGGACAACUUACAUCAUGGAUGUGAUGUAUAGAUGAUGUUCUGUUCAUCUGGCAAGCAGCGCUUCCAAGAGAAGAUAUUCACCAAGGGAUAUUUCUGGUGGAUACGGGAGGGCCAAAAGACAACAACAAUCUCAACUUUUGCAUUCAAGAAAUAAGAAAAGAGACUCUACCGAUAUCAGAAUAAUUACGGAUUAUCACUGUAGGUAGCAGGAUUUGAUGUGCUCUAUGAAAAAACUAUGGCCGAUAUUACAGCAGGAUCCAGAUCUCUGCCCCAAGUGGGGAUCGUUACCCUGUGGUGAUUGCUCAAUCAGUAACCAGGUGAUCAGAACAGAUGUAUUUAUGGACUCAAGUGGUGAAAAAGAGUUUCGGAUUGUGGGGAUGACAACCAGACAAAUGAGGAAUUGCACAAAAUGGAAAUUAGAGGGAUAGAUCGGCUACAUCUUUGCAUCCGUGGAGGCAAUGUCCAAAAACUACUCGCAAGAAAAGAAUGUAAGAAGCUUAGGAGAUCUAAAUAUGAAGAAUGCCCUGUUCAUUCCGAUCCGGACAUUAUAUGCAGAUGUAUUACAUUAUGAUACCCUUUUUUAUAUACCAUAUUUAUUUUUAUUAUUAUUUAUAUUUAUUUAUAUUCUCAUAUUAAUAUAUAUAUAUAUAUAUAUUUCCCCAUUAUUCAUUUCAUUUGUUACUUACAUAGUAUUCAUACUCUCAUUCACUAUAUUUAUUUUCCACUUAUUUGUGCAAUAUCGCACAUGUAUUUUCACUAUCAAUUGUU